UUAAUUUCACUUCCUCAAGGGCAAAUUGGAACGACAGAGCGAAGAUUAGCAUGGCCUUGGGCAAGGAUGGUAUGGACAAAUUGAGAGAUGGUCCACAUUUUG